UUGAACGCUGGCGGCAUGCCUUACACAUGCAAGUCGAACGGCAGCGCGGGGCAACCUGGCGGCGAGUGGCGAACGGGUGAGUAAUAUAUCGGAACGUACCCUGGAGUGGGGGAUAACGUAGCGAAAGUUACGCUAAUACCGCAUACGAUCUAAGGAUGAAAGUGGGGGAUCGCAAGACCUCAUGCUCCUGGAGCGGCCGAUAUCUGAUUAGUUAGUUGGUGGGGUAAAGGCCUACCAAGGCAUCGAUCAGUAGCUGGUCUGAGAGGACGACCAGCCACACUGGGACUGAGACACGGCCCAGACUCCUACGGGAGGCAGCAGUGGGGAAUUUUGGACAAUGGGCGAAAGCCUGAUCCAGCAAUGCCGCGUGCAGGAAGAAGGCCUUCGGGUUGUAAACUGCUUUUGUACGGAGCGAAAAGGCUCUCUCUAAUACAGGGGGCUCAUGACGGUACCGUAAGAAUAAGCACCGGCUAACUACGU
rnacentral:rRNA from 1 species